UUUGAUAGUAAAAUUGAAUAUUAAACGAUUAAUAGCUAUUUUCUUUAAAGUUAAAUUUUAUGGCGGUAUUUUAAACUUUUCAGAGGAACCUGUCCUAUAAUUGAUAGUCCACAAUUUAAUUUAUUUUAAUUAGAAAUUUACAUAUCGUCGUAAAAGAAUAUUUUUUUAGGAUUUAAAUAUUUAAAAUUUUUUUAAAAAAAUAAAUCAGAUCAAGGUGUAGUUUAUAUUAAAAUAGAGAUGGGUUACAAUAAAAAUGAAUUUUUGGAUAUUAUUUUUUAAAAGUAAUUGAAAUUGGAUUUGAAUGUAAUUUAAUAUAAAUAUAUUGAAUGAUUUAGCUCUAAAAUAUGU
rnacentral:rRNA from 1 species